ACCUAUACGUUGCCUCGGCGGAUCACCCGCGCCCCGUAAAAAGGGACGGCCCGC
rnacentral:rRNA from 1 species